rnacentral:rRNA from 1 species
UACGGGGGGGGCAAGCGUUGUUCGGAAUUACUGGGCGUAAAGGGCUCGUAGGCGGCCAACUAAGUCAGACGUGAAAUCCCUCGGCUUAACCGGGGAACUGCAUCUGAUACUGGAUGGCUUGAGUUCGGGAGAGGGAUGCGGAAUUCCAGGUGUAGCGGUGAAAUGCGUAGAUAUCUGGAUGAACACCGGUGGCGAAGGCGGCAUCCUGGACCGACACUGACGCUGAGGAGCGAAAGCCAGGGGAGCAAACGGG